UACGAAGGGGGCUAGCGUUGCUCGGAAUGACUGGGCGUAAAGAGCGUGUAGGCGGCCAAGCAGGCUCGCUGUGAAAACUCGAGGCUCAACCUCGAGACGUCGGUGGAAACCGUUUGGCUAGAGUCCGGAAGAGGAGAGUGGAAUUCCCGGUGUAGCGGUGAAAUGCGCAGAUAUCGGGAAGAACACCCGUGGCGAAGGCGGCUCUCUGGGACGGUACUGACGCUGAGACGCGAAAGCGUGGGGAGCGAACAGG
rnacentral:rRNA from 1 species